rnacentral:rRNA from 1 species
CCUACGGGAGGCAGCAGUGAGGAAUAUUGCACAAUGGGGGAAACCCUGAUGCAGCGACGCCGCGUGAGCGACGAAGCCCUUCGGGGUGUAAAGCUCUUUCGGCAGGGACGAUAAUGACGGUACCUGCAGAAGAAGCUGCGGCUAACUACGUGCCAGCAGCCGCGGUAAUACGUAGGCAGCGAGCGUUGUUCGGAAUUACUGGGCGUAAAGCGUGCGUAGGCGGUCGGCUAAGUUUGGUGUGAAAUCUCCCGGCUCAACCGGGAGGGUGCGCCGAAAACUGGCGGGCUAGAGUGCGGGAGAGGGAAGUGGAAUUCCUGGUGUAGCGGUAAAAUGCGUAGAUAUCAGGAGGAACACCCGUGGCGAGGGCGGCUCCCGGGCCAUGGCCUGACGCUGAGGUGCGAAAGCCAGGGGAGCGAACGGGAUUAGAUACCCCGGUAGU